GACGAACGCUGGCGGCGUGCCUAACACAUGUAAGUCGCACGGGACCGGGGGCAACUCCGGUUCAGUGGCAGACGGGUGCGUAACACGUGAAGAACCUGUCCAACGGCGGGGGAUAGCCGGCCCAACGGCCGGGUAAUACCGCAUACGAUCGUUCGGGGGCAUCCCUGGGCGAUGAAAGCAGCCGCAAGGUUGCGCCGAUGGAGGGCUUCGCGGCCUAUCAGCUAGUUGGCGGGGUAACGGCCCACCAAGGCACGACGGGUAGCUGGUCUGAGAGGAUGGCCAGCCACAUUGGGACUGAGACACGGCCAGACUCCUACGGGAGGCAGCAGUGGGGAAUCUUGCGCAAUGGCCGCAAGGCUGACGCAGCGACGCCGCGUGU
rnacentral:rRNA from 1 species